rnacentral:lncRNA from 1 species
UACAGCCAGUUGGUCUGUGGUUCAUGUUUCGUUAGCUUAGUAUGCUACUUGUGUGUUACCUGACUUGAAUGCCGUGAUUUGUGAAAACAUAUAUAAAGAUGUAGCGGCAAACAUACUGAAUUGGUUCUUUCUAUCAAAGCGGUAGGGAAUGUCUACUCCCAGCAAGGGACAUGCACAGCCACCACCGCCGCCUGUAUCUAGUAUUUCAGAAGAGUCCGACCGAGAUGGGUAUGUAUCUUAGAACUGCGUUUCUAAACCAGCCAUGCAGGACAUUGUAAGUUGUGACUGACUUAUUUAUCUUUUGAAUCAGGGACAAAUAAUUCGCUAUGCAAGGUGUUCAACCGUUGGGCAAAGAAACCGAAGCGAUUGGUGUGCUAGAAUCUAGCAUGCACUCCUUGAGCAUUGCUGAAGAGCAGCAGCAUGACUCUCUGGAUGAGGAGGAGGCGAAUUAUAUGAGGAAUAGCAUUAUUGACAUGGAUGAUUGCUGGGAGGAUCCUAAUCAGAAGGGCUUGGAAGAAGAUUGGGACAGCUCUGAUGAAGACUAUAGUCCUUUUCUUCAUCUACGUGCCCCAGCUAUGACUGCCAACAUCAACCAACUCCUGGAGAUAAGCAUGGAUAAAGCCGUGCUUGAUGUGGCAACACCCAAUCCUCCAGGAAAGCGGUUUGCCUACAGCCCCCCUGUUUACAAAACCCAGACAUUGCUUGCAGCAAUUGAUUACAACUAUCACAACCACCGCAUUCCUGCACGUGGCAAGGAUGGACACCGAAUGUACAGACAGUACUUCAACAAGAAGUCCGAGCACUGGAAUGUAUAUGUGUUGAAGGAGAGCAAAGGCUACCAUUACAUUCCAGACCUGCAGAAGGCCAUCCUUGCUGAGAGGCUGGGAAGUGGAAUGGGCCUUCCCAGAAUACAGGGUCUAAGGCCUGAUGAUCCCAGGCGCUUGGGUUUGCUUGCCGCAACGCAGCCUCCAUCCACAUUUGAACUUGUCACGGCUCAGGUUUCACGGGGAGAGGGUGGUGCCCAAAGUGAAUUCUAAACUAUUCCAUUCUUUCAUAGCUGUGUAUGUAAAUAAUUUGCAAAUAAUUCAAGAGUCGUAAAAAGAAAUAUUUUUUUAUUUAUAUGUAAAUAAAAAACAAUGAACAUCAAACUGUACA